GAUGCCAGGGUCAAAAGGUCUAAGCCCACAUGAGCUUGCUCAUAAGUGGGUGAAAGACCUUGGGACCCGCCCCGAUAUGAGCAUAAAAGUGGGAUGAUAAUCCCGCGAUAUGCGAAUAUCGAGUAGGAUUGUGGGAGUGCAUAGCACGGAGCAAUCCGUAGGCAUC
rnacentral:sRNA from 1 species